CUACGGAGGGUGCAAGCGUUAUUCGGAAUCACUGGGCGUAAAGGACACGUAGGCGGGAAGCCAAGUCUGAUGUGAACUCCUACAGCUUAACUGUAGAACUGCAUUGGAAACUGGUUACCUAGAGUAUGGGAGGGGGAGAUGGAAUUAGUGGUGUAGGGGUAAAAUCCGUAGAUAUCACUAGGAAUACCUAAAGCGAAGGCGAUCUCCUGGAACAUUACUGACGCUAAGGUGUGAAAGCGUGGGGAGCAAACGGGAUUAGAAACCCUAGUAGUCC
rnacentral:rRNA from 1 species